rnacentral:lncRNA from 1 species
UAAGAGGAUAAACCUUACAGCAGGAUAACCUUAUUUUAGUUUGUGCAAUAAGAUCUACAUCUAAUUUUAGAUCUUAAGAGCAUAAAAAAUCAUGUCAUGUGAUCUAGACUUUGAUAUCAAUUUAAAAAAAACUAGGCAGUACCAUGCAUGUAUUUUUAAAAUUUUUUAUAAUGAAAGCAUUAGAUUAAUCUAUUUAAUCUAAUGAACAUGCAUGAGAUCUAAUCUAGACUACCUACCCA